GAUGAACGCUAGCGGCAGGCCUAACACAUGCAAGUCGAGGGGCAGCACAUAAAGUGGUUUACUACUUUUGGUGGCGACCGGCGGACGGGUGCGUAACGCGUAUGCAACCUGCCUCCAACAGGGGGAUAACGGAGAGAAAUUUCCACUAAUACCCCAUAAUAUCAGAAUCGGCAUCGGUUUUGGUUGAAAACUCCGGUGGUUGGAGAUGGGCAUGCGUUGUAUUAGAUAGUUGGUGAGGUAACGGCUCACCAAGUCAACGAUACAUAGGGGGACUUAGAGGUUAGCCCCCCACACUGGUACUGAGACACGGACCAGACUCCUACGGGAGGCGGCAGUGAGGAAUAUUGGUCAAUGGGGGCAACCCUGAACCAGCCAUGCCGCGUGCAGGAAGACGGCUCUAUGAGUUGUAAACUGCUUUUACAAGGGGAUAAAUCGGUGUACGUGUACACCGUUGAAGGUACCUUGGGAAUAAGGAUCGGCUAACUCCGUGCCAGCCGCCGCAGUAA
rnacentral:rRNA from 1 species